GACGAACGCUGGCGGCGUGCUUAACACAUGCAAGUCGAACGGAAAGGCCCUGCUUUUGUGGGGUGCUCGAGUGGCGAACGGGUGAGUAACACGUGAGUAACCUGCCCUUGACUUUGGGAUAACUUCAGGAAACUGGGGCUAAUACCGGAUAGGAGCUCCUGCUGCAUGGUGGGGGUUGGAAAGUUUCGGCGGUUGGGGAUGGACUCGCGGCUUAUCAGCUUGUUGGUGGGGUAGUGGCUUACCAAGGCUUUGACGGGUAGCCGGCCUGAGAGGGUGACCGGCCACAUUGGGACUGAGAUACGGCCCAGACGCGUACGGGAGGCAGCAGUGGGGAAUAUUGCACAAUGGGCGGGAGCCGGAUGCAGCAACGCCGCGUGCGGGAUGACGGCCUUCGGGUUGUAAACCGCUUUCGCCUGUGACGAAGCGGGAGUGACGGUAAUGGGUAAAGAAGCACCGGCUAACUACGUG
rnacentral:rRNA from 1 species